GUGAAAUUGAUCACAAACAAACAUUUACCCCUUUGUUUGACCGUGAAAAAUUUCUCCCAUCCCCUUUGUUGUCAUAAGACAAAAAAGAAACCACAAACGUUUAUUUGUGGUUUCUUU
rfam:Aeribacillus pallidus strain 8m3 NODE_18, whole genome shotgun sequence.